UACGAGAGCGACGAACGUUAUCCGGAAUUACUGGGCGUAAAGCGCACGUAGGCGGACUAUUAAGUCAGGGGUGAAAUCCCGGGGCUCAACCCCGGAACUGCCUUUGAUACUGGUAGUCUCGAGUCCGGAAGAGGUGAGUGGAAUUCCGAGUGUAGAGGUGAAAUUCGUAGAUAUUCGGAGGAACACCAGUGGCGAAGGCGGCUCACUGGUCCGGUACUGACGCUGAGGUGCGAAAGCGUGGGGAGCAAACAGG
rnacentral:rRNA from 1 species